rnacentral:rRNA from 1 species
UACAGAGGGGGCAAGCGUUAUUCGGAAUUAUUGGGCGUAAAGGGCGCGUAGGCGGCCUGACAAGUGAAAGGUGAAAUCCCUCGGCUCAACUGAGGAACUGCCCUCCAAACUGUUUGGCUUGAGACCGGGAGAGGUGAGUGGAAUUCCCAGUGUAGCGGUGAAAUGCGUAGAUAUUGGGAGGAACACCAGUGGCGAAGGCGGCUCACUGGACCGGAACUGACGCUGAGGCGCGAAAGCGUGGGGAGCAAACGGG